rnacentral:rRNA from 1 species
CAGUCGCCACGGGAAUACGAAGGGUGCAAGCGUUAAUCGGAAUUACUGGGCGUAAAGCGUGCGUAGGCGGUGAAUUAAGUCUGCUGUGAAAUCCCCGGGCUCAACCUGGGAAUGGCAGUGGAUACUGGCUCGCUAGAGUGUGUCAGAGGAUGGUGGAAUUCCCGGUGUAGCGGUGAAAUGCGUAGAGAUCGGGAGGAACAUCAGUGGCGAAGGCGGCUUACUGGCUCAUACUGGACGCUGAGGUGCGAAAGCGUGGGGAGCAAACAGGAUUAGAUACCCCAGUAGUCCCUGUCUCUUAUAC